rnacentral:rRNA from 1 species
GACGUAGGGCGCGAGCGUUGUCCGGAAUUAUUGGGCGUAAAGAGCUCGUAGGCGGUGUGUCGCGUCGGCCGUGAAAACUUGCAGCUUAACUGUGGGCGUGCGGUCGAUACGGGCAUCACUGGAGUUCGGCAGGGGAGACUGGAAUUCCUGGUGUAGCGGUGAAAUGCGCAGAUAUCAGGAGGAACACCGGUGGCGAAGGCGGGUCUCUGGGCCGAUACUGACGCUGAGGAGCGAAAGCGUGGGGAGCGAACAGG